CGUAGGGCGCAAGCGUUGUCCGGAAUUAUUGGGCGUAAAGAGCUCGUAGGCGGUUUGUUGCGUCCGUCGUGAAAGCCCACAGCUUAACUGUGGGUCUGCGGUGGAUACGGGCAGACUAGAGGCAGGUAGGGGAGAACGGAAUUCCCGGUGUAGCGGUGAAAUGCGCAGAUAUCGGGAGGAACACCGGUGGCGAAGGCGGUUCUCUGGGCCUGUACUGACGCUGAGGAGCGAAAGCGUGGGGAGCGAACAGGAUUAGAUACCCUGGUAGUCCACGCCGUAAACGUUGGGCGCUAGGUGUGGGGUUCUUCCACGGAUUCCGCGCCGUAGCUAACGCAUUAAGCGCCCCGCCUGGGGAGUACGGCCGCAAGGCUA
rnacentral:rRNA from 1 species